rnacentral:rRNA from 3 species
UCCCACCUGACCCCAUGCCGAACUCAGAAGUGAAACGCCGUAGCGCCGAUGGUAGUGUGGGGUCUCCCCAUGCGAGAGUAGGACACUGCCAGGC